AUUGAACGCUGGCGGCAGGCUUAACACAUGCAAGUCGAGCGGAGCGAGGGUGCUUGCACCUUAGCUUAGCGGCGGACGGGUGAGUAAUGCUUAGGAAUCUGCCUAUUAGUGGGGGACAACAUUCCGAAAGGGAUGCUAAUACCGCAUACGCCCUACGGGGGAAAGCAGGGGAUCACUUGUGACCUUGCGCUAAUAGAUGAGCCUAAGUCGGAUUAGCUAGUUGGUGGGGUAAAGGCCUACCAAGGCGACGAUCUGUAGCGGGUCUGAGAGGAUGAUCCGCCACACUGGGACUGAGACACGGCCCAGACUCCUACGGGAGGCAGCAGUGGGGAAUAUUGGACAAUGGGGGGAACCCUGAUCCAGCCAUGCCGCGUGUGUGAAGAAGGCCUUUUGGUUGUAAAGCACUUUAAGCGAGGAGGAGGCGCUCUAGGAUAAUACCCUAGAUGCGUGGACGUACUCGCAGAAUA
rnacentral:rRNA from 1 species